GCCUGUGUAGCUCAGUGGUAGAGCGCGCCACUCGUAUGCUUCGGUCAUUCACAUGGUGAGGUCGUCCGUUCGACUCGGGCCACAGGCA